CGGUUCGGAUCGGAGUCUGCAACCCGACUCCGUGAAGCUGGAUUCGCUAGUAAUCGCGCAUCAGCCAUGGCGCGGUGAAUACGUUCCCGGGCCUUGUACACACCGCCCGUCAAGCCAUGGGAGCCGGGGGGUGCUUGAAGUGCGUCGCCGCAAGGCGCGCCCUAGAGCAAAACCGGUGACUGGGGCUAAGUCGUAACAAGGUAGC
rnacentral:rRNA from 1 species